ACGUCUGUCGCUUCGGCCAGAAGUCGUCGAACUUGGGGGGGAGUAUCAUAAGCUCUUCCCGACACUUCUGUUGCUUCGGCCAGAAGCUGUCACAUUAUGAGCAUGAUAGAUCUGUCGCUUCGACCAGAUCAAUCAAGGAUUUAUUGAGCAUAAGGAGGAGCAGCACGAGGAGCAGCCCCGCACGGCAAGGUCAGUAAAUCAAUAAAUAUAUCCUUUAGACUAAUACAGUUAUUUUGCAGGUUAUUUUUAUUUUGCAGUAAUGAUUCUGUCGCUUUGGUCAGAAUCGGGUCUAUUUUGUCGCUUCGGCCUUAAUAGAUCCAGGUCCAUUUUGUCGCUUUGGCCUUAAUGGACCAAGAAUUAUUUUGUCGCUUCGGCCUCAAUAAUUUUUCUAUCUUGUCGCUUUGGCCUUGAU
rnacentral:lncRNA from 1 species